GAACUGCUGAGGAGUCCUAUAAUAGGACGAAACGGCCGUCCAGUUU
rnacentral:hammerhead_ribozyme from 1 species